UUUGUGCCUCACGGAUCACAUUGGCCACACACUGAUCUUCACACUCAUCUGGUCAUGACGCUCAACAAGACAUGUCCCCUGGGGAACUCCACAACAGCAUGCAAACCAACGUCUGGAGGUUUAUCUCUGGCACUAGGUUUGGGUCUCCCUCUGUCCAUCUUGCUGGUAGUAGUAAUGGUGCUGAUUUUUACCCAGCGUAGUAAGCUGAGGAGUUUAUGGACAUUAGAUCAACUCAAAAGCACAGAGGUCGACACACGGAAACCUGAGGGUUCCCAAUACACGCCCAUGGUCAGACCACUGCCUGCCUCUGAUCAUUUUCCUAUCUACGAGAACUAUACUGACUCCAGAUACAGGAACAGGUCGACCAAUGAACCCGGGGACAUAUACCUGCAGUGUGAUUCACAGGAUGACGCAAUUUACAGCAAUGACCCGUCGUGUAGCCUGGCCAUACUACCUCCUGAGGGGGACGACGACCUUUAUGUAAUGCCAGACACUUUCCAGGCACAGCCGUGGUGACCACUUUGUUCAAAUCCAGUGGAAUUGGAAUAUAAAUCAAUGGGCACGGUAUGUUUUGGAGCCUGUCGUGUUUUACCCAACCAUUUGAAAGAACACAUUUUGCCUUCAUCUGCUUUAGAUUAAAAGUAUUUUUAUUA